UGGAGAGGAGGAGUAGAGGAUGGAGACCAGAGGGGAAGGAGUGGAGAGGAGGAAUAUGGAGACCAGAUAGGAAGGAGUGGAGAGGAGGAGUAGAUGAUUUUAGACCAGAGGGGAAGGAGUGGAGAGGAGGAAUAUGGAGACCAGAGGGGAAGGAGUGUAGAGAAGGAGUAUGGAGACAAGAUUGGAAGCAGUGGAGAGGAGGAUAGAGGAUAGAGACCAGAGGGGAAGGAGUGGAGAGGAGGAAUAUGGAGACCAGAGGGGAAGGAGUGGAGAGGAGGAUAUGGAGACCAGAGGGGAAGGAGUGGAGAGGAGGAAUAUGGAGACCAGAGGGGAAGGAGUGGAGAGGAGGAAUAUGGAGACCAGAGGGGAAGGAGUGAAGAGGAGGAAUAUGGAGACCAGAGGGGAAGGAGUGGAGAGGAGGAGUAUGGAGACCAGAGGGGAAGGAGUAGAGAGGAGGAGUAUGGAAACCAGAGGGGAAGGAGGGGAGAGGAGGAGUAGAGGAUGGAGACCAGAGGGAAAGAGUGGAAGACAGAUGAGAAGAGAGGUUCUCUGGUCUCCACCAGCCAACAGGCCGACCCCUGCAGCUGAGGAACAGAAGCCACUUUCUGCCAUGAAACAAAGUGCCUUCCGAUUACAAACAGAACAGACCGAAUUGCGAACCGGAAUGGUAACAUCAAUCACACCAAUGAUGGUGAUGAUGUUUCCUCUGCUGUCACUCAUGAUGGGCUAUUUUCGACAUGUUUCUUUUGACCCACAAGUGCUGGUGGGAGGCACACUUGCUCAGAGGGAUUCAGUUCAAGUCGUGUGUGUGCCUGCACGUGUGAGUGUGUGUUUUAGGGAAAGGAUGGUGGAGGAAAGUCAGACAGACCGGGGGGGGGCAGGCAUAGGUCACAGGACUAUUGCAAGUGGUCACAAACCAGGCAGUUGUGGCUGUUUAAAAAAAAAAAGGAGUUAGUGAAAAUGCAGAGACUGGGUAAAAACAAUGGACUUACAAAGGGAGGAGGAGACUGUGGAGCUUCUCAGAAAGACAGUCAGAGAUCACAUACUGUAAAAGGAAAAAGACACUCGCUAUCGAUCGAUUGCUUCGCUCUUUCCCAAAAGCGACUCCAUCCCAGCUGAACAGACCUUUUUUAAAGAAAAGAACAGAACUGUUGUUAAAUAAAGCAUUGUGUUGUACAGGGAGGGGAGUAGGACGUGGCGACUGCAGGCUCUACGUUAGACGGAAUAAAGUACGCUCUCCCUCCACACACCUCCAUCAUUUACAUCCAACAAUGUGUGAGAAAAAGAUGAAUAAUGUCCACAAUAAUAAUAUUGAUAUUUUAUUACUCUAGCGAGAAUGUUUCUCUGCUUUUACACAAACUGUGAAGAUUGACUGUGGAAGAGCUACCUAAGACCCUCCAUUACCUUAACUAGCUGGUUUUUAAAAACAACAUAUUGUAAAAAAAAAUAAUUUAAAAAAAAGACUAAAAGAAUUUGAGAAAAAAAUCCGUACAUUGUUGGUUAUAAAAGAAAAAAAACAUUUAAGGACUUGUUGGUCUUGUUUCUUAUACUUUUUCUGUUGGGAAAACUAUCUGACUUUUGACUUCCUUUUAUCUUCUUGUUGUCUCCCUUGCAUUGCUGAAGUAUCAAAAACAGACGGUGGAAACAUAAGCUAAACCUAUUUGGUAGUUGUAUAACUUGUACAUGUAAAGAAGCUCUAUUAUAAAGGUUUAUGAUCGAUGUUUUAUGUUGGAGAACUGGAAGCACAACAUAUAAGCUCUCGACAUAUAAAAUGCAGUAUAUAUGGCACACAUACUGUGUGUGACCCUGCUCAGACGAAGUCAGGCUUGUAGACCCCCUCAGAAACAUAUUACACAAUCAUUGAUUACGUGAACAUUCAUACAGUGUCACCCAUCCAAAGAACACGAAUUGAAAGAAAUGAUGUGGACAAAUGACAAGUCCCAGACGUUGUCGAACGAGUCUUUACGAGACAAUAAAGGACAAAGAAUUUGGUUGCUAUUUUGGCAUUUGGCAUUUGGUUGGUAUUGCGACUUUUUAUGGCGCAGAGAAUGCAUUGUGAUGAGAAGACAUGGAAAUAUAAGCCUGGUUUGGUCCUAGCGGGUUGUGUACAGGUAGGGGCAUAUACAGUGUACAAUAGGUGUGAUUAGAAACAGACACGUGAAGAAACAAUAUGAUACAUAACUAAACAGAGCAGAAUGAUAGGCAGCCAUUGUAGAGCAUUAUAACAACCUCGUCUCAUAUUGUGUACGUUUCACCAGGACAUUAUAACAUUUACAUGUACUGUCAAUGCUGUCGAGUGGUUGGGUUCAUAGGAAGAGGGAAUUAUUUCCUUUUUUUUUUUUGUGCCCAGAUCAUAUUGAAUGUAUAUGAAAAAUGAGGGUGCCAUAAUAAAUCUUUGUUUUGGAGGCCUACUUACACCCUCUAUAAAAAAAAAUACACGUUCGCAGAUAUGUUACAGUUGUUCGUCUCCAGAAAAUGAUCCGUAGCGUUUUUGCCACGCCCCAUGUUGUUGACCUCCGAAACUUUCAAUGGCUUUCAUUGAGGAAACAACUUGUUUAUUGAUUUCUUGUGACCUGGACACAGUCACUUGUACUUGGCAAUCUAACCACACGCUGUAUUGUAUUGUACUCAAACAACUAAUUACAUGUUUUAAAUUCAAUAACAAGUCCC
ensembl:lncRNA